UACGGGGGGGGGCAAGCGUUGUUCGGAAUUACUGGGCGUAAAGGGCUCGUAGGCGGCCAACUAAGUCGGAUGUGAAAUCCCCAGGCUCAACUUGGGAACUGCAUCCGAUACUGGAUGGCUUGAAUCCGGGAGAGGGAUGCAGAAUUCCAGGUGUAGCGGUGAAAUGCGUAGAUAUCAGGAGGAACACCGGUGGCGAAGGCGGGUCUCUGGGCAACUACUGACGCUGAGGUGCGAAAGCGUGGGGAGCAAACAGG
rnacentral:rRNA from 1 species